rnacentral:lncRNA from 1 species
CAAGACCUUUGCAUCUCCUCCUUUUCUAGUACUCACUGGAUGGCCGCAAAAGCAAACAGAGAUUUAUACUACUGCUGAUGUCAGAAAUUAGCUUUUAAAUGUUGAAGCAGCCCAAGUGCCCAUUGGGGUGCCUGCAGACCCAGGUGUUGAGAAGGCAUUAAAGCAGGUGUGGAGGACAGAGUCGUUUGCAAAAGGCAACAUGAAGAAGAGUGUGGUAGUGAGUAAAAAAGAGCCAUCUUGCUGGGAGGCAGAAGGAUUGUUGUUUCCAUGCCCUGUGAGAAGAGGAAUGGGAAGUUCCAGUUCUCAGAAUGUUUCUUCAGUUUUUCUCUUACAAGGAUAUAUUUUCUGUGAAGGGAGUUAUCCAACCAUGUGGUCCUCUGAUAGAAGGGACUGGACGGGACGACUCCAGAAACACCUUCCUGUUUUAUGUUUCCAAAGCAUCUUCUCUUCAGAGAGAGAAAUGGAAAAGGAGAGAGACAAGGACAGAAGCUGUCUGAACAAAAGCGCUUUGUUAUGUUGA